rnacentral:rRNA from 1 species
UACGGAGGAUCCAAGCGUUAUCCGGAUUUAUUGGGUUUAAAGGGUGCGUAGGCGGCCUUGUAAGUCAGGGGUGAAAGACGGUAGCUUAACUAUCGCAGUGCCUUUGAUACUGCAGGGCUUGAAUGUACUUGAGGUAGGCGGAAUGUGACAAGUAGCGGUGAAAUGCAUAGAUAUGUCACAGAACACCAAUUGCGAAGGCAGCUUACUAAAGUAUGAUUGACGCUGAGGCACGAAAGCGUGGGGAUCAAACAGG